UACAGAGGUCUCAAGCGUUGUUCGGAUUUAUUGGGCGUAAAGAGCGUGUAGGCGGCCAGACAGGUCCGUUGUGAAAACUCGAGGCUCAACCUCGAGACGCCGAUGGAAACCGUCUGGCUAGAGUCCGGAAGAGGAGAGUGGAAUUCCUGGUGUAGCGGUGAAAUGCGCAGAUAUCAGGAAGAACACCCGUGGCUAAGGCGGCUCUCUAGUACGGUACUGACGCUGAGACGCGAAAGCGUGGGGAGCGAACAGG
rnacentral:rRNA from 1 species